rnacentral:lncRNA from 1 species
UCGCCGCUCCGCACAUGCUGAGAACGCCCGGAUUCCCGGAACGAUACAUGCGGCUUCCGUUGCAGGAUUGCAGGAGCUCGUCUGCCGCUACGGUUGCGAAAUGAGCCGUUACUCCGUUAGUCGAGCAGCUACAGCAGAAGCUAGAUCCAGGUCCUGCACGGCAACAAAACGCUCGCCGGCUCCAGUACCGUCUGUCCGUCUCGCAGACAGGACGAGCUGCCGAG